GGGGAAGGGUUGUAGCUCAGUGGAAGAGCAUCUGCUUUGCAUGCAGAAGGUUCAAGGUUCAGUCCCUGGAACCUUCUCCA